UUGAAUUUUAAUGAAGAGUUUGGUUGUAGCUGGCCCAUUCAUUUGGGCAUGUGCACACCUUCCUCUUUCAUCCCACACACACCUGUGAACCUGUGAGACAGAGAUGGGGAGUUUACUUGCUGCUUUUUGGAAUACAAAGGCAAUAGGUUAUUGGACCCCCCCUCUGUCUACUCAAUUAAUAUAAACUCAAUUUAUUUUAAAACGAAUGUAAUGGAUGUAACACAUCUCAUAC
rnacentral:misc_RNA from 1 species